GAUAAACGCUGGCGGCGUGCCUAACACAUGCAAGUCGAACGCCCUGGAGCAAUUCAGGGAGUGGCGGACGGGUGAGGAACACGUGGGUGAUCUGCCUUGAGGUGAGGAAUACCGGCGAGAAAUCGCCGACAAUACCGCAUAGGUUCGUAAGAACAAAGUCGCAAGACGCCUUGAGAUGAGCCUGCGUCCGAUUAGCCAGUUGGUGGGGUAAUGGCCUACCAAAGCAGCGAUCGGUAGCUGGUCUGAGAGGACGAUCAGCCACACUGGGAUUGAGAACGGCCCAGACUCCGUACGGGGG
rnacentral:rRNA from 1 species